rfam:Picea glauca, whole genome shotgun sequence.
GGGUGCAAUCAUACCAGUGUUAAUGCACCGGAUCCCAUCAGAACUCCGCAGUUAAGCGUGCUUGGGAUAGAGUAAUACUGGGAUGGGUGACCUCCUGGGAAGUCCUAGUAUUGCACCCU